UACAGAGGGGGCAAGCGUUGUUCGGAAUUACUGGGCGUAAAGGGCGCGUAGGCGGCCCGCUAAGUCGAACGUGAAAUCCCCGAGCUCAACUCGGGAACUGCGUCCGAUACUGGUGGGCUUGAAUCCGGGAGAGGGAUGCGGAAUUCCAGGUGUAGCGGUGAAAUGCGUAGAUAUCUGGAGGAACACCGGUGGCGAAGGCGGCAUCCUGGACCGGCAUUGACGCUGAGGAGCGAAAGCCAGGGGAGCAAACGGG
rnacentral:rRNA from 1 species